AGUGAACGCUGGCGGUAGGCCUAACACAUGCAAGUCGAACGGCAGCACAGUAAGAGCUUGCUCUUACGGGUGGCGAGUGGCGGACGGGUGAGGAAUACAUCGGAAUCUACUUUUUCGUGGGGGAUAACGUAGGGAAACUUACGCUAAUACCGCAUACGACCUACGGGUGAAAGCAGGGGAUCUUCGGACCUUGCGCGAUUGAAUGAGCCGAUGUCGGAUUAGCUAGUUGGCGGGGUAAAGGCCCACCAAGGCGACGAUCCGUAGCUGGUCUGAGAGGAUGAUCAGCCACACUGGAACUGGGACACGGUCCAGACUCCUACGGGAGGCAGCAGUGGGGAAUAUUGGACAAUGGGCGCAAGCCUGAUCCAGCCAUACCGCGUGGGUGAAGAAGGCCUUCGGGUUGUAAAGCCCCUUUGUUGGGAAAGAAAAGCAGCAGGUUAAUACCCCGCUGUUCUGACGGUACCCAAAGAAUAAGCACCGGCUAACUUCGUG
rnacentral:rRNA from 1 species